CCACCUCCCUGUGUGCUGAGGCUUCUAUUAAAAACACAGACAAGAUCAGGCAACCACAGUCAAUCUAAGGGAAAGAGGAAAGUGUAACCAAAGCACAAAUACAUAAAAUAUUGCAAAAAUGCUAUUUAAAAAAAAAAAGAGAAGAGAGGCUCUGAGGUUGUACUAACAGAGAAUGGCCUUGGCUAAUCCAGGAAGACUUCCUGAAAGAGGUUGUUUUUUCCCCAGGUCUGCUUUUGACAUCUCUCUUUUCACAGUGCAUCUGGGUAGUGAGCUUCCUCUCCUCCUUCUUCCUCAGCCUGCCCUAUGGUGUGGCAGUGGGUGUCGCCUUCUCCGUCCUGGUCGUGGUCUUCCAGACUCAGUUUCGAAAUGGCUAUGCACUGGCCCAGGUCAUGGACACUGACAUUUAUGUGAAUCCCAAGACCUAUAAUAGGGCCCAGGAUAUCCAGGGGAUUAAAAUCAUCACGUACUGCUCCCCUCUCUACUUUGCCAACUCAGAGAUCUUCAGGCAAAAGGUCAUUGCCAAGACAGGCAUGGACCCCCAGAAAGUAUUACUAGCCAAGCAAAAAUAC
rnacentral:sRNA from 1 species